rnacentral:rRNA from 1 species
GAUGAACGCUGGCGGCGUGCCUAAUACAUGCAAGUCGAGCGAAUGGAUUGAGAGCUUGCUCUUAUGGAGUUAGCGGCGGACGGGUGAGUAACACGUGGGUAACCUGCCCAUAAGACUGGGAUAACUCCGGGAAACCGGGGCUAAUACCGGAUAACAUUUUGAACCGCAUGGUUCGAAAUUGAAAGGCGGCUCGGCUGUCACUUAUGGAUGGACCCGCGUCGCAUUAGCUAGUUGGUGAGGUAACGGCUCACCAAGGCAACGAUGCGUAGCCGACCUGAGAGGGUGAUCGGCCACACUGGGACUGGAACACGGCCCAGACUCCUACGGGAGGCAGCAGUAGGGAAUCUUCCGCAAUGGACGAAAGUCUGACGGAGCAACGCCGCGUGAGUGAUGAAGGCUUUCGGGUCGUAAAACUCUGUUGUUAGGGAAGAACAAGUGCUAGUUGAAUAAGCUGGCACCUUGACGGUACCUAACCAGAAAGCCACGGCUAACUACGUGCCAGCCGCCGCGGUAA